AUUUGCCUACGGGACGCAGCAGUGGGGGAUAUUGCACAAUGGGGGAAACCCUGAUGCAGCGACGCCGCGUGAGUGAAGAAGUAUUUCGGUAUGUAAAGCUCUAUCAGCAGGGAAGAAGAAAGACGGUACCUGACUAAGAAGCCCCGGCUAACUACGUGCCAGCAGCCGCGGUAAUACGUAGGGGGCAAGCGUUAUCCGGAUUUACUGGGUGUAAAGGGAGCGUAGGCGGGAGAGCAAG
rnacentral:rRNA from 1 species